AUAUUCCAUUAUAUCCUCUUUCACAUUAGAGCCACAACAGGACCCACUAGAACAUGGGAACAAGUAAAAGUGAAAUAUAAGAAUAUUCUACAGAAUGCAACCAAGAAAAGGGCAGAGCAAAUAAAGACAGGUGGUGGUCCUGCACCCCUCGUGUGUAUGUGUAUAUAUGAGGAAGGACAGGAAGGAUCCUGUCUAUCCCGCAAUAUACGCUGAAUUCUGGAAACUCUCCUUAUCAAUCUUGCACCUUCCGCAAUGGGUUGCUCGCGUACAAACGGACAGGACAUGGCUGCGACAGACUUCCCAAAUCCACCUUCGCUUUUAUAGCCGUGGUCUCUCAUCUUGAUUACACGAAGUAAUUUACUAUUACUACUCUAAAAUAUGAAUUACAUCUGAAAUAAUCAAAUACAUGUAAUAGAAUGAUUACUAGUACAUUUCCCUUUUUUUAGGAAAUGACCUGUAUGUAUCUGUAUGCAAUCAAUAAAAGAAUCAAAUACUGCAUUAUCUUUAGUUACAUUGAUAAUAUUUAUUUAUGGAGAAACAGUGGAGAAAUAUCGCUGUUGCUUUCGUAUAAAUGAAGCGGACAUACCUGAGUGGCCGCGAUCUAAUCCUGUUUACAUAAAGUAAGCCUGCUCCCGAGCAGGUUUACGCUUACGGAUCUGUUGCUAUGACAGCAAGUCCCGGAUGGGCUUCGGAGAACCGAACGAUCCAAGAUCACGCGAAAUCGUCAACAAUCAAAUCCAGC
ensembl:lncRNA